UGCAGCAGCGUGGUGACCUGGAGAA
rnacentral:piRNA from 1 species